UACGUAGGUGGCAAGCGUUGUCCGGAUUUACUGGGCGUAAAGGGCGCGUAGGCGGCCUGUUAAGUCGAACGUGAAAUCCCCGGGCUCAACCCGGGAACUGCGUCCGAUACUGGCAGGCUUGAAUCCGGGAGAGGGAUGUGGAAUUCCAGGUGUAGCGGUGAAAUGCGUAGAUAUCUGGAGGAACAUCGGUGGCGAAGGCGGCAUCCUGGACCGGUAUUGACGCUGAGGCGCGAAAGCCAGGGGAGCAAACGGG
rnacentral:rRNA from 1 species